UACGUAGGGGGCGAGCGUUGUCCGGAGUUACUGGGCGUAAAGCGCUUGUAGGCGGUCCACCAAGUUUGGGGUGACAGUUGCCGACUUAAUCGGCAAAGUGCCUCAAAGACUGGCGGACUUGAGGGCCACAGAGGGACAUGGAACUCCAGGUGUAGUGGUGAAAUGCGUAGAUAUCUGGAAGAACACCAAAGGCGAAGGCAGUGUCCUGGGUGGUCGCUGACGCUGAGGCGCGAAAGCCAGGGGAGCAAACGGG
rnacentral:rRNA from 1 species